ACCUGGCUCACUUAGUUGGUAGAGCAUGAGACUCUGAAUCUCAGGGUCAUGAGUUUGAGCCCAUGCUGGGCA
rnacentral:tRNA from 1 species